CUAGUAAUAGAGAGCUCAGGGCUACGAGCUAACUCUCUCUCGAAGGAGUGCGCUUCGUGAGAAUGAUUCUAAGUCUUUUUAUUUUAUGGCUGAUAUGCUGCUAAUACGUAAGUCUACUCUAUGUUAUCGUGUUUCAACUACUAUAUACUUAUAUAUUAUUAAUUUAUUAUUCUAGAGUAAAUUCUUAAAAAUUUUUCUUAACCUUUUAGAGAAAGCUCUUUUGAAAUUAUUAAUACAAAUUUUUAUUAUAUAUAUCUCAUAUUUUUUCCUAUAAAAUCUACAUUAAUUUAAAUUUAUUUAUGGAGCUCUCCAAACUUUUUCUCGCCUGUGUAAAACAAACAUGUGUCCAUAAAAAAAUAUCUGGGCUCAUCUCCCCCCCGGAUAUUUAUAGCCGCCGCCGUACUUCUGAGUGCGCUGGGGUAGUAUAAU
rnacentral:rRNA from 1 species